AUUGAACGCUGGCGGCAUGCCUUACACAUGCAAGUCGAACGGCAGCGCGGGAGCAAUCCUGGCGGCGAGUGGCGAACGGGUGAGUAAUAUAUCGGAACGUGCCCAGUAGUGGGGGAUAGCCCGGCGAAAGCCGGAUUAAUACCGCAUGAGACCUGAGGGUGAAAGCGGGGGAUCGCAAGACCUCGCGCUAUUGGAGCGGCCGAUAUCAGAUUAGCUAGUUGGUGGGGUAAAGGCCUACCAAGGCAACGAUCUGUAGUUGGUCUGAGAGGACGACCAGCCACACUGGGACUGAGACACGGCCCAGACUCCUACGGGAGGCAGCAGUGGGGAAUAUUGGACAAUGGGGGAAACCCUGAUCCAGCAAUGCCGCGUGUGUGAAGAAGGCCUGCGGGUUGUAAAGCACUUUUGUUGGGGAAGAAACCGGCCGGGUUAAUACCCUGGUUGAAUGACGGUACCCAAAGAAUAAGCACCGGCUAACUUCGUGCCAGCAGCCGCGGU
rnacentral:rRNA from 1 species